GCGUAAUUGGUUUAGUGGUAAAAUUCUCCGUUGCCAUGAAGCAAAGUUCGGGGAGCCCUGGGUUCGAUUCCCAGAUUACGCA